rnacentral:rRNA from 1 species
GUGAGGAAUAUUGGACAAUGGGUGGAAGCCUGAUCCAGCCAUCCCGCGUGAAGGAUGACGGUCCUAUGGAUUGUAAACUUCUUUUGUACAGGGAUAAACCUGCCCUCGUGAGGGCAGCUGAAGGUACUGUACGAAUAAGCACCGGCUAACUCCGUGCCAGCAGCCGCGGUAAUACGGAGGGUGCGAGCGUUAUCCGGAUUUAUUGGGUUUAAAGGGUCCGUAGGCGGGCCUGUAAGUCAGUGGUGAAAUCUCAUAGCUUAACUAUGAAACUGCCAUUGAUACUGCAGGCCUUGAGUAAAUUUGAAGUGGCUGGAAUAAGUAGUGUAGCGGUGAAAUGCAUAGAUAUUACUUAGAACACCGAUUGCGAAGGCAGGUCACUAAGAUUUAACUGACGCUGAUGGACGAAAGCGUGGGGAGCGAACAGGA